UGCGUAGGCGGCUGGGAAAGUUGGGUGUGAAAGCCCUCGGCUCAACCGAGGAAUUGCGCUCAAAACUACCUGGCUUGAGGGAGAUAGAGGUGAGCGGAACUGAUGGUGGAGCGGUGAAAUGCGUUGAUAUCAUCAGGAACACCUGUGGCGAAAGCAGCUCACUGGGUCUUUUCUGACGCUGAGGCACGAAAGCUAGGGGAGCGAACGG
rnacentral:rRNA from 1 species